rnacentral:rRNA from 1 species
CAGUCGCCGCGGGAAUACGGAGGGGGCUAGCGUUGUUCGGAAUUACUGGGCGUAAAGCGCACGUAGGCGGCUUGGUAAGUUAGAGGUGAAAGCCCGGAGCUCAACUCCGGAAUUGCCUUUAAGACUGCCGAGCUAGUAGGUGAGAGAGGUAAGUGGAAUUUCCUGUGUAGCGGUGAAAUGCGUAGAUAUAGGAAGGAACACCAGUGGCGAAGGCGACCACCUGGGCUCAUACUGACACUGAGGUGCGAAAGCGUGGGGAGCAAACCGGAUUAGAUACCCCCGUAGUCCCUGUCUCUUAUAA